UACAGAGGGUGCGAGCGUUGUCCGGAAUCACUGGGCGUAAAGGGCUCGUAGGCGGCCAACUAAGUCAGACGUGAAAUCCCUCGGCUCAACCGGGGAACUGCGUCUGAGACUGGAAGGCUUGAGUCCGGUAGGGGAGCAUGGAAUUCCUGGUGUAGCGGUGAAAUGCGCAGAUAUCAGGAGGAACACCGGUGGCGAAGGCGCCACUCUGGGCCGAUAUUGACGCUGAGGAGCGAAAGCGUGGGGAGCGAACAGG
rnacentral:rRNA from 1 species